rnacentral:rRNA from 1 species
UACGAAGGGGGCUAGCGUUGUUCGGAAUUACUGGGCGUAAAGGGCGCGUAGGCUGUGCUGCAAGUCAGGCGUGAAAGGCCCGGGCUCAACCUGGGAACUGCGCAUGAUACUGCGGCGCUUGAAGACGGGAGAGGAUGGCGGAAUUCCCAGUGUAGAGGUGAAAUUCGUAGAUAUUGGGAAGAACACCGGUGGCGAAGGCGGCCAUCUGGCCCGUGAUUGACGCUGAGGCGCGAAAGCGUGGGGAGCAAACAGGAUUAGAUACCCUGGUAGUCCACGCCGUAAACGAUGAGUGCUAGACGUCGGGGAGCUUGCUCUUCGGUGUCGCCGCUAACGCAUUAAGCACUCCGCCUGGGGAGUACGGUCGCAAGAUUAAAACUCAAAG